UACGGGGGGGGCAAGCGUUGUUCGGAAUUACUGGGCGUAAAGGGCUCGUAGGCGGCCAACUAAGUCGGACGUGAAAUCCCUCGGCUUAACCGGGGAACUGCUUCCGAUACUGGAUGGCUUGAGUGUGGGAGAGGGAUGCGGAAUUCCAGGUGUAGCGGUGAAAUGCGUAGAUAUCGGGAAGAACACCAGUGGCGAAGGCGACGUGCUGGUUUGCACCUGACGCUGAGAUGCGAAAGCUAGGGGAGCAAACAGG
rnacentral:rRNA from 1 species